CUGGCGUUCCCGCUGUCCUCCUCUGCUACAGUCGCUUAGCAACGGAGACCUUCUCAGACGGAGUUGUAAGUAGUUGACGUAAAUAUUUCCUAUCACGAUGUCAGCGUAGCGGCCAUGUUGCCGUAGUCUUGUACUCGGGAAAAUGGACGCCUACACAGCACAUAGCUGGUAGUAAUACUUUAAUUAGUGUGUAUAAAACUCAAGCUGAAACCGUUCAACAGAAUAAAAGCAAAG